CCUACGGUGGGCAGCAGUGAGGAAUAUUGGUCAAUGGGCGCGAGCCUGAACCAGCCAAGUAGGGUGAAGGAUGACUGCCCUACGGGUUGUAAACUUCUUUUAUAAAGGAAUAAAGUGAGGCACGUGUGCCUUUUUGUAUGUACUUUAUGAAUAAGGAUCGGCUAACUCCGUGCCAGCAGCCGCGGUAAUACGGAGGAUCCGAGCGUUAUCCGGAUUUAUUGGGUUUAAAGGGAGCGUAGAUGGGUUGUUAAGUCAGUUGUGAAAGUUUGCGGCUCAACCGUAAAAUUGCAAUUGAUACUGGCAGUCUUGAGUACAGUUGAGGUAGGCGGAAUUCGUGUGGUAGCGGUGAAAUGCUGAGAUAUCACGAAGAACUACGAUUGCGAAGGCAGAUUACUAAACUGCCACUGACAUUGAUGCUCGAAAGUGUGGGUAUCAAACAGGAUUAGAUACCCCUGUAGUC
rnacentral:rRNA from 1 species